rnacentral:rRNA from 1 species
AUUGAACGCUGGCGGCAGGCCUAACACAUGCAAGUCGAGCGGAUGAAGCGAGCUUGCUCCUGGACUCAGCGGCGGACGGGUGGGUAAUGCCUAUGAAUCUGCCUGGUAGUGGGGGAUAAUGUCCGGAUACGGGCGCUAAUACCGCAUACGACCUGUGGUAGCAAUUAGGGGAUCCUCGGACCUCACGCCAUCAUAUUAGCCUAGGUCGGAUUAGCUAGUUGGUGGGGUAAAGGCCUACCGAGGCGACGAGCCGUAACUGGUCUGAGAGGAUGAUCAGUCACACUGGAACUGAGACACGGUCCAGACUCCUGCGGGAGGGAGCAGUGGGGGAUAUUGGACGAUGGGAGAAGGCCUGAUCCAGGCGUGCCGCGUGUGUGAAGAAGGUCUUCGGAUUGUAAAACACUUUAAGUUGGGAGGAAGGGCAAUAAGUUAAUACCUUGCUGUUUUGACGUUACCAACAGAAAAAGCACCGGCUAACUUCGUG